AUUGAACGCUGGCGGCAGGCCUAACACAUGCAAGUCGAGCGGUAGCACAGAGAGCUUGCUCUCGGGUGACGAGCGGCGGACGGGUGAGUAAUGUCUGGGAAACUGCCCGAUGGAGGGGGAUAACUACUGGAAACGGUAGCUAAUACCGCAUAACGUCGCAAGACCAAAGAGGGGGACCUUCGGGCCUCUUGCCAACGGAUGGGCCCAGACGGGAUUAGCUAGUAGGUGGGGUAACGGCUCACCUAGGCGACGAUCCCUAGCUGGUCUGAAGGGAAGACCAGGCACACGGGAACUGAGACACGGUGCAGACUCCUACGGGAGGCAGCAGUGGGGAAUAUUGCACAAUGGGCGCAAGCCUGAUGCAGCCAUGCCGCGUGUAUGAAGAAGGCCUUCGGGUUGUAAAGUACUUUCAGCGGGGAGGAAGGUGUUGAGGUUAAUAACCUCAGCAAUUGACGUUACCCGCAGAAGAAGCACCGGCUAACUCCGUGCCAGCCGCCGCAGUAA
rnacentral:rRNA from 1 species